CCCUUAGAUGUUCUGGGCUGCACGCGCGCUACACUGAAGCGAUCAACAAGUUUUUCCUAUGUCGAUAGACACGGGUAAUCUUUUGAACUCGCAUCGUGAUGGGGAUAGAUUAUUGUAAUUAUUAAUCUUCAACGAGGAAUUCCUAGUAGGUGCAAAUCAUCAGUUUGCAUCGAUUACGUCCCUGCCCUUUGUACACACCGCCCGUCGCUGCUACCGAUUGGUUGAUCUGGUGAAUUAUUCGGACUGCCGGCUGAAGGGGUUUCCUCAUCUGCCAGCGGAAAGUCUUGUUAACCCUAUCAACUAGAGGAAGCAGAAGUCGUAACA
rnacentral:rRNA from 1 species